rnacentral:rRNA from 1 species
AACGAACGCUGGCGGCAUGCCUAACACAUGCAAGUCGAACGAGACCUUCGGGUCUAGUGGCGCACGGGUGCGUAACGCGUGGGAACCUGCCCUUAGGUUCGGAAUAACUCCCCGAAAGGGGUGCUAAUACCGGCUAAUGUCUUCGGACCAAAGAUUUAUCGCCUUUGGAUGGGCCCGCGUUGGAUUAGCUAGUUGGUAGGGUAAAAGCCUACCAAGGCGACGAUCCAUAGCUGGUCUGAGAGGAUGAUCAGCCACACUGGGACUGAGACACGGCCCAGAAUCUUACGGGAGGCAGCAGUGGGGAAUAUUGGACAAUGGGGGGAAGCCUGAUCCAGCAAUGCCGCGUGAGUGAUGAAGGCCUGAGGGUUGUAAAGCUCUUUUACCCGGGAUGAUAAUGACAGUACCGGGAGAAUAAGCUCCGGCUAACUCCGUG